AUGGAUCGGCUCCCUCUUCCUGGGGGCGGCCCCAGAGCCGCAGCCAAUACCCCUUUCUUCGUCGCGAUGGAUCAGUACGCCGCAUCCACAUCAGCUUCACCACCGGAAAAGGCGCCGGCGGCAGCAGCGCUCCCGGCCCCGGAACACUGUGGAAAGUCCAGCUACAACAAGAGAUCAUCUGACACGAUCAAGGCCAAGAUCAUGUCGCAUCCUCUCUAUCCGGCUCUGCUCGGAGCCUUCAUAGACUGCCGGAAAGUCGGAGCGCCGCCGGAAGUCGUUGGUCGGCUCUCCUCCCUUGUCGACGAGCUCCGGCCAAAUUCAGCCGGCAUGCAGGAACAGCCGGCGGACCCAGAGCUCGACCAGUUCAUGCAGACCUACCGUGAUAUGCUGGUGAUGUACAGUCAGGAGCUCACGAGGCAAAUCCAAGAAGCCAAUCAGUUCUUGAGGAGCAUGAACUAA
rnacentral:rRNA from 1 species